rnacentral:rRNA from 1 species
GUGACGGCGUACCUUUUGUAUAAUGGGUCAUCGACUUGGUCUAUCUAGCAAGCUUAAGCCGUUAGGUGUAGGCGCAGCGAAAGCGAGUCUUAAUAGGGCGUUGAGUUAGAUGGAUCAGACCCGAAACCGAGUGAUCUAGGCAUGACCAGGAUGAAGGUAAGGUAACACUUACUGGAGGUCCGAACCCACACCUGUUGAAAAAGGUCGGGAUGAGUUGUGCCUAGGGGUGAAAGGCCAAUCAAACUCGGAGAUAGCUGGUUCUCUGCGAAAUCUAUUUAGGUAGAGCGUCAUCCGAAUACCCCGGGGGGUAGAGCACUGGAUGGGUAAUGGGGCCCCACAGGCUUACUGAUCCUAACCAAACUCCGAAUACCCGGGAGUACUAGAUGGCAGACACACAGCGGAUGCUAACGUCCGUUGUGAAGAGGGAAACAACCCUGACCUACAGCUAAGGCCCCCAAUUCAUGGCUAAGUGGGAAAGCAGGUGGGACGACCAAAACAACCAGGAGGUUGGCUUAGAAGCAGCCAUCCUUUAAAGAUAGCGUAACAGCUCACUGGUCUAAACAAGUUGUCCUGCGGCGAAGAUGUAACGGGGCUCAAGCCAUGAGCCGAAGCUUAGGAUGCCGUAAGGCAUGGUAGCAGAGCGUAGUGUGACAUAGUUCCAUGUCUCUUUUGCCUCUUUCGGGAGGUCUUGGAGACGCGGAGCUUUCUGUGAAGCCGGGGCGUGAGCCAUCCGGUGGAGAGAUCACUAGUGAGAAUGAUGACAUGAGUAGCGACAAAGGGUGUGAGAGACACCCUCGCCGAAAGUCCAAGGGUUCCUGCUUAAAGCUAAUCUGAGCAGGGUAAGCCGACCCCUAAGGCGAGGCCGAAAGGCGUAGUCGAUGGGAACCAGGUUAAUAUUCCUGGGCCAGAUGGAAGUGACGGAUCUCGAAGGUUGUUCGUUCUUAUCGGAUUGAACGGGCCGCUUAGAGGUUCCUGGAAAUAGCUCCAUCGCUAGAUCGUACCCUAAACCGACACAGGUGGACUGGUAGAGAAUACCAAGGCGCUUGAGAGAACUAUGUUGAAGGAACUCGGCAAAAUACCUCCGUAAGUUCGCGAGAAGGAGGCCCGGUUUCUAGGCAACUAGAGGCUGGGGGCACAAACCAGGGGGUGGCGACUGUUUACUAAAAACACAGGGCUCUGCGAAGUCGUAAGACGACGUAUAGGGUCUGACGCCUGCCCGGUGCCUGAAGGUUAAAAGGAGGGGUGCAAGCUCUGAAUUGAAGCCCAGGUAAACGGCGGCCGUAACUAUAACGGUCCUAAGGUAGCGAAAUUCCUUGUCGGGUAAGUUCCGACCUGCACGAAUGGCGUAACGACUUCCCCGCUGUCUCCAACAUAGACUCAGCGAAAUUGAAUUGCCUGUCAAGAUGCAGGCUUCCCGCGGUUAGACGGAAAGACCCCGUGCACCUUUACUACAACUUCACACUGGCAUUAGGCCGAACAUGUGCAGAAUAGGUGGUAGGCUUUGAAGCGGAGACGCCAGUCUUCGUGGAGCCUCCUUUGAGAUACCACCCUUGUUCUGCUUGAUGUCUAACCGCGGUCCGUUAUCCGGAUCCGGGACCCUGUGUGGUGGGUAGUUUGACUGGGGCGGUCGCCUCCUAAAGCGUAACGGAGGCGCGCGAAGGUUGGCUCAGAGCGGUCGGAAAUCGCUCGUUGAGUGCAAUGGCAGAAGCCAGCCUGACUGCAAGACUGACAAGUCGAGCAGAGACGAAAGUCGGCCAUAGUGAUCCGGUGGUCCCAAGUGGGAGGGCCAUCGCUCAACGGAUAAAAGGUACGCCGGGGAUAACAGGCUGAUACUGCCCAAGAGUCCAUAUCGACGGCAGUGUUUGGCACCUCGAUGUCGGCUCAUCUCAUCCUGGGGCUGGAGCAGGUCCCAAGGGUACGGCUGUUCGCCGUUUAAAGAGGUACGUGAGCUGGGUUUAGAACGUCGUGAGACAGUUCGGUCCCUAUCUGCCGUGGGUGUAGGAUACUUGAGAGGAGUUGCCCCUAGUACGAGAGGACCGGGGUGAACGAACCACUGGUGGACCAGUUGUCGUGCCAACGGCAGUGCUGGGUAGCUAUGUUCGGACAGGAUAACCGCUGAAGGCAUCUAAGCGGGAAGCCCCCCUCAAAACAAGGUAUCCCUGAGGGCCGUGGUAGACCACCACGUCGAUAGGCCGGAGAUGUAAGCGCAGCAAUGCGUUCAGUUGACCGGUACUAAUGGCCCGAUAGGCUUGAUUUGAUCCAG